rnacentral:lncRNA from 1 species
UAUCAAGCCGAAGUUGGGCUUGGAGUAGAUUCUACAUUAAUGAUGUCCAAAUUAUUAUGGCUCUUCUAAGUAGUUAUUCAAAAUGGCAGUGUUUGUCUAACAAUUUCACAAGGCUUUGAGUUUUUUGGGUUUUUUUAUUUUUUUAUUUUUUAAGACACAAUACUUUCCAUUAAUGUAAUUCCAGAGAAGAGGUUGGAAAAUGUCCCUUGUCUUCCACAGUGAGAGAUGCUGCUUUUAGUGUGGUCAAUAGAAGCCCGGAAAGGAGGAAUAUUUCAGAAGAACAUAUAAGCGAAUGCCUAGCACAGGCCCUGAAUAAAUGCCUGCUGGAUCAGACUCUGAGUCUCAUACAAGGCCAAGCUGAGGAACAAUUUGCAGGUCGAUUCAAGUGCAAUACUGUUUCCUGAUGGGCUCCAGAGAGACAGGACACAUUAGGGAUUGCUAAAGAGCCCUAGCAACUCAGUACCAUGUCACACUAAAAGACUUCCAGCAAGAGAGCUAAGAACGUUAACGACCAUGCCUACUUGAGCCUCUGCUGAUCACCAGGAUAGACACGCCUGCCCACCUACUUCUGACAUCAUAGCUAAAAGAAUCAUCUGGCAAAGGAUCUCCCAAGAGGGAAGUUUCCUGCACACUCUCAAAUGCUGGACAGUUGAUUAUGCAGAGGUGAAUGCUGAAAUUUGCUUGAUAUAUUUAUGGCACCUACUUGUGUGAUGCCUUCAAAGAAUGCGAUGAGCAAAUGCCACAGGCUUCCUCAAAAAUGCACGAUGGACUCAAUAAAUAAUUUUAUAUUUCUUUGACAUGUAUUGGCUUCCCAGAGGCUUACAGUAUAUGAAAGACAGGCCACCUGAAUUUGAAACAGUAUCCUAUUGACGUAGUUUGAGUUAUUGCUUAAAAAUAGUUUUAGCUAUGUUCUAUCCCCCCAAUGCAAGUCAAAUAAAAGAAAUGGGUAUGGAGGAACUACACACCUGGAUUUUGGCAAGUGCUUGAGGAUUGAUGGAGACAAAUAUCCAUUUCUUCCUUGUGAGACAGAGAAGCAGCAUUGCAGAAGGGAACUGCUCUUCCAGAAGUCUGACCUUCCAUCUUGUAGGAAGGGCCCCACUCCUCUAAAGGUUUAAUGGCAUCCAAUUCGUUUGGGGUGAAUUUAACACACUGUAUUAUCCAGUACAUAAAGGCUCUAUUUUGAUAUAGGUGACGGUUAUGCAAUGGAUGAGUAACAUCACUUCAGAACACACAUCAGGUUUUUCCAUUGGAACCACCUGCACCAAUAGUUAACAUAAAAUUCUGAAGAGGAAGCACCAGGCAGAGGCAUAGAUGUGCUUCCUCUUGACAUCUUGUACCAAUAUGCUACAACCAAUUGAGGAAGCCGUACCUCAUCUUCAAAUGGCUGAGCUUUCUACUGCAGCUCUUAAAAAACACUAUUUGUAAUUGUAACCAGAUUGUCCCUCCACCAAACACACCAUAGAAUCUGGUAAUAAAGGUAAUGUUCUUCUAUAAAACAACGGUUUCAUAAAAUGAUCAGAGCCUGGCCCAGGGUCCUAAACACUUACCUACACCUUAAAGUGUUGAAUUAGAUUAAAGUGCUAUGGGGACAUAACUGAUGUAAUGUUUCAAAAUCAUAAAUGCAGGAGGAGGGAUAUUAAAGCUGGAUCAUGGAGAGAAUGGAAUAAUGCAAUAAAAGCUGGCUCAAACGGU